UACGUAGGGUGCAAGCGUUGUCCGGAAUUAUUGGGCGUAAAGAGCUCGUAGGCGGUCUGUCGCGUCUGCUGUGAAAACUCGGGGCUUAACCCCGGGCCUGCAGUGGGUACGGGCAGACUAGAGUGCGGUAGGGGAGACUGGAAUUCCUGGUGUAGCGGUGAAAUGCGCAGAUAUCAGGAGGAACACCGGUGGCGAAGGCGGGUCUCUGGGCCGUAACUGACGCUGGAGGAGCGAAAGCGUGGGGAGCAAACAGG
rnacentral:rRNA from 1 species